CCCUUAGAUGUUCUGGGCCGCACGCGUGCUACACUGAUGCAUUCAACGAGUUUCUUCCUGGUCCGAGAGGAAUGGGUAACCUUUUGAAAGUGCAUCGUGAUAGGGAUAGACUAUUGCAAUUAUUGGUCUUCAACGAGGAAUUCCUAGUAGACGUAGUUCAUCAGACUGCAUCGAUUACGUCCCCGCCCUUUGUACACACCGCCCGUCGCUCCUACCGAUUGAAUGCUCAGGUGAGCCAUUCGGACUUUCAUCAUGCUGGUUUCCAGUUUUGAUGAAGGAAAGUCUUGCGAACCUUAUCAUUUAGAGGAAGGAGAAGUCGUAACA
rnacentral:rRNA from 1 species